GCUUCCCUCUUUCCUCGUGCCUAAUACAUGCAAGUCGAGCGAACGGACGAGAAGCUUGCUUCUCUGAUGUUAGCGGCGGACGGGUGAGUAACACGUGGAUAACCUACCUAUGAGACUGGGAUAACUUCGGGAAACCGGAGCUAAUACCGGAUGAUAUUUUGAACCGCAUGGUUCAAAAGUGAAAGACGGUCUUGCUGUCACUUAUAGAUGGAUCCGCGCUGCAUUAGCUAGUUGGUAAGGUAACGGCUUACCAAGGCAACGAUGCAUAGCCGACCUGAGAGGGUGAUCGGCCACACUGGAACUGAGACACGGUCCAGACUCCUACGGGAGGCAGCAGUAGGGAAUCUUCCGCAAUGGGCGAAAGCCUGACGGAGCAACGCCGCGUGAGUGAUGAAGGUCUUCGGAUCGUAAAACUCUGUUAUUAGGGAAGAACAUAUGUGUAAGUAACUGUGCACAUCUUGACGGUACCUAAUCAGAAAGCCACGGCUAACUACGUG
rnacentral:rRNA from 1 species